rnacentral:rRNA from 1 species
AGUGAACGCUGGCGGUAGGCCUAACACAUGCAAGUCGAACGGCAGCACAGUAAGAGCUUGCUCUUACGGGUGGCGAGUGGCGGACGGGUGAGGAAUACAUCGGAAUCUACUUUUUCGUGGGGGAUAACGUAGGGAAACUUACGCUAAUACCGCAUACGACCUACGGGUGAAAGCAGGGGAUCUUCGGACCUUGCGCGAUUGAAUGAGCCGAUGUCGGAUUAGCUAGUUGGCGGGGUAAAGGCCCACCAAGGCGACGAUCCGUAGCUGGUCUGAGAGGAUGGUCAGCCACACUGGAACUGAAACACGGUCCAGACUCCUACGGGAGGCGGCAGUGGGGAAUAUUGGAAAAUGGGCGCAAGCCUGAUCCAGCCAUACCGCGUGGGUGAAGAAGGCCUUCGGGUUGUAAAGCCCUUUUGUUGGGAAAGAAAAGCAGCAGGUUAAUACCCCGCUGUUCUGACGGUACCCAAAGAAUAAGCACCGGCUAACUUCGUG